GCAGAACUGGCAGAGGCUGCUGGGCCUGUUGGGGUACCAGGAGUGACAGAGAAGACUGGCAGCUGCAGAGCAGGACAGACCAGAUUGGCCAGUACAACAGCAGAGGGCCAUGUUGGGCUUUGACUCAGGAAUCCUGGUGGAGGCAAUGAUGAGAGAGAAGAGAUAAAACACACUAGAAGUGAUAAGACAUGCCAGCAGAACUCUAAAGGCAGAAUGUCCUUCCACCUGUUUUAUGCUGUAAGACAAACUUCCAAGUGCGAGGCAGUGUGGAGGGCUGUUGCCUUGAAUGGCAGCUGAAUGCACCAGCGGGAUCCUUGGCAGCAAUGCCCAGGCACUGAAGUCGGGCAUUCAGGAGAGCUAAAUGGAGAAAAGAAACUUGAGCAAACUGCUUCCUGGAACACUGAGAACCUGAAUGGGAAAUUAAGAAGAACCAGAUUCUUUCUAUUCUUCCACCAGCCAAGGUGAUGAGCACAAAAGGAUCCAUCUUAUACAGUGCUUGCCAGCUUCCAUAAUACUACUCACCACGAUGUUGAAAUCACCUGUUCCAGAACCAGUCCUGUCCUUUGACAAGAAGGAUUUAAUUAUCAGUAGUGGUGGGGACUGGCUGGAGAGAGGAAAAACACUUCAAGGACUCUGCCACCUUUCGUAGAUGGAGAGUGCAAAGUUUGUACCAUGGAACUCCUUCUCUAACAGUUACUCUGUGGCAGUGCCUAUUUCAAACCUCCCUUAACUUCUGAUUGUAUAGAUGUUUGUUUCAUUUGUUCAUCUGUUUGUUCACUUAGUCAGAGAUGUUUUAAGCCUUAAGAGAAAUAGUGGACUAGAAAAUGCCUUGGAAAAGUACAAAGUUCAAUCCAAGUAAACUGUUUUUAAACUAGGAAUUUAUGAAGCCUAAAAUAUAAAAUGUAUAUACAUGGAUAUGCUCUGAAGUGAGGUAGAGGGGUAGAAAUCAACAUUGUGAUAUUGUACUAUAGUUUUGCAAGAUGUUACCAUUGGGGGAAAAUGUUUGAAGGGUAUACGGGAUAUCUCUGCCUUAUUUCUUACAACUGCAUGUGAAUCUACAG
rnacentral:lncRNA from 1 species